UGUUCUUUGUGCUGGGCACUGGUGAGGUCACACCUCGAGGGCUGUGUCCAAUUCUGGGCCCCUCACAACAAGAAUGACAUUGAGGGGCUGGAGAGAGUCCAGAGAAGGGCAACAGAGCUGGUGAAGGGUCUAAAGAGCGAGUCACAU